GCUGACUUGAGAUGACAGGUGGCGGAGCUCACAGCAGCAGAGCAGGUGGACACUGAAGCAGUGAGUUAGGAAAUGAAAGCCCACGUAAGGGCUGAGAUCCACCAUCUUACCAGGAAAAUAUAACAUCCUGAUUAGGUUCUCAUGCUGCUUUGCAAAGAGAAUGUAUAACAGGAUUUGUACAGGGCUGCAAAUGCUGAAGAUGACAGUUAAGGAAGAUGAAAACUCCAUAAAAGGAGAUCCUGGUAAGGAACAUGGAACUAACAAUCCAACACCAACUGGAAGAAUUGGUAAUGGUCAAAAGGAGAUGCCACAUGUCCUACCAAUCUCCCAGAAAUCUCCUUGCUGGAAUCCAUCUUGGCUGAGCAAAGUGUGUACCAUCAAGAAGGACCUUGAGCCAGAAUGAUUGGCCAGAGGCAACCUGGAAACUAAUCCCAUUACUGUAAAGCCUGAGACUGAGCCACGUGGCAGAGCAGCCCUCCUGGGAUCCCUCAUCUUCCUGCUCUCCGCCCUUCUCAAUAAAGUCGCUUGCUUCGUCAGCAUCUGUGUCUCCUUGGACAAUUCAUUUCUGAGCGUUAGACAAGAGCCCACUCUCGGGGGCUGGAAGGAGUCCUCUGUCCCACAAAAUGAGGACCUUCCAAGAAGUACAAAGUUUUAGUUGUGACGUAAUAAACUGGAUUAAAAUUUUCUUGCAU
ensembl:lncRNA